GAGGAGCAAGGGCGUGCGGGCGGGCGGAGGCCGGGGUGGGUGGGGGGCGGUCGCCACCCCAGAUGCCCGCCCCGCCGGAACCCGCCGCCGCCGCCGCCGCCGCCGCGCUGGGCGCCUGCCAGAGGGCCCUCACCUGGGCCGCCGGCCGGGCCGCCGGAUUCCUCCGGGCGGGGCGGCGAGGCCGCGUCAGAGCGGGAAACCGAGGCUGGGGGAGGAAUUCGGGGCCCGGCCGGGUCACGCGGCCGCCGGGGCGGCCAGGUGGGGCUGGAACCCAGGCCUCUCAGCCCUUUCCCAGCCUCCCUUGCGCACGUGGGGGGCUCACCACCCCAGAGUCACUUCUCAUUAGUGCCGCUCCACUCGCCUCCGAGGAGGGGGCUCCAGGAGAGGGCACCCUUGGGCCAGGGGCUCCGAGAGCCGGAAGAGGGGCCGAAAGAACGAAGCUGGAGGCCCGGCUUCCCUGCCAACCCCCCCCCCCCCCCCCGCCCCCGAAUGGCUUCCUGGUGCCCACCCUGCCCCCACCCCCUUCGCCUUGUCUGGCCGAGCUGGCGGGGCUGGCUCUGGGCCUCAGACACUCUGGAAUCGCCAAGGUCUGAGCUCAGGGCCUGGCCCCCUUCCCAGGCUAACAGCCGGGAGGAGGGGGGUGCUGCUUGAGGGCCCAGGGGGCUGGGGAGGGGCACAGCAGGGCCCCAGGGCAGGGGUUGGCAGGGGCUGGGGAGGGGCCUUGGGUUUGGUAAAGCUUCAGAGGAGCCAGGCCUGUCCACUGGUCUGGAAAGGAAGCCCUGGAGGCCUGCUGUGUCCUGGGGCCUCAACUGUGCCCACAGGGCCUGGCCAGGAGACCCCAGGAUUCAGUGUCUGACUCACAGAACUCAGCAGGGGGUGGGUGUGACCAGGGUAUCCUGAGCAGCUCACUGCCAGGUCAGAGCAGCACCCAACCCUCUCCUGUUGGGCCCUGGGGGUGGCAGUCUGACCGGGGGAGGGCGUUCAGGGACUUGCCUUUAGGAACACCUGUCCAAGGAACUCAUGGUUUUUACUGUGAGGGUGGAUUUAUUUGGAUAGCUUUGGAGGGACUGAGGGAAACCCUUAAGUGGAGCCCCUGCCUGAAGUGCCCAGUGGGCUCUGACCUGUUCAUACAGCCUGGUGUUGCAGGGACGGGAUGAGGCCGUGUCCUCAAGGGAUCCCUACUGCUGGAGUCCCAAAGUGGAUACGAGAGACAGCCCCACCCUCCCUCGGGUCUCAGAUCACACACUGAGGCAGGGAAUAAUAGUGAGCGCUUACCACCUGCCAGGUUCAGGGCUGAGCGGGUCCGUAGUCAUUUUUUCCUCCUACUCAUUUGAACCUGACCCUCCUCUGUUGAGAACAGGCUGUGGCUCCCCUUGGAACACAGCACAAACAGACCAGGGUUGGAGUCUUAAUCUCUCCAAGCCCCAGUUUUCUCACCUGCGAAAUGGCGCUCUGUUCAUUCAACCAACUGAGAAUCCACCAGGUACCAAGCUCUUGCUAAGGUAUAGGACCCAUCCCUGCCUCACCUGGAGCCUCUGUAGAGGAGACUGACAUGCGACAAGUCAAUUCACAGGUGACUGUGGCUACAAUGGAGGCCUGCCGCUGCUGUGGUGGGACCUGGAGGUCCAGGAAGCCCCUCUGACAAAGGGACUUCUAAGCCGAAAGCUGGAGGAGGAACAGGAAUUCAUGGGGUGGGACUGUAUCAGGGCAAGAGGGGGUGUUGCUGCCAUCACCCCAGAAGAGAUGCUACAUCCUGGGCACAGUGGAGAUGUAUUUGGGAGCUGGAAUCUAGACACUGGGUGAGUGGCCGGUACCCGACAGGCAGGUGGCACGAAUGGCUCAGGGAGUCUGGCCUGAGCCCGAGGGUGGGUAAGGAAGGUGGCGGAGAGGGAGAUGCUGGGAAGAGCCUGGGGUUCUGUUUGGGGCCUUGCUGAGUCUGACAUGCUUGUGUCAUCCAGAUAGAGACAUCUCAACCCAGCGGUCUAGAACUCAGACAGAACGUCUGGCCCGAAGACACAGACUUGGGGUCCGUAGCAUACAGGGGCAUCGAUGGCCAUGGGAAAGGAUGGGCUCAGCCUGGGAGAGAAGCGGGCCCUUGGUCAACCAGGGAGGUCCCCACUCGCAGGUCAGGGAGAGGAGGCAGAGUCGGAAGUGACUCACAAAGAGCAGCAGGAGGGAGCACGGAGGAAAGAUUGAGAGGAGUGUUUGGGAGGAGUGUGUGGCCAGCAGUGUCCCCCGCUGCCAAAAGCAGGAGGGGGUGGUGACAGCCCUUCUUCAGGGGCUGCUGAGGAGACUCAGUGGCUUAAGACAGCGAAAGCAAGCACUCCGUCCAGUACCGGGCACAUUCUGAGUGCUUAGUAAGUGUUAUCUGUCGUCAUCACCAAACUCCUUAAGCUCAGUGGGGAGCCGGCAGGGAACAGAGGACACCUGCAUGUGGGUGAUUGAGGGGGCUGGAUGGGAGGGACCGCUUACAGAGGGCAAGGAGACCACCAGGGGCAACAGAGGGAAGCCCUGGCCGCUGAAGGAACUGGGGGGUGGGGGGGGGGGACCAACUACCCCACUAACCUAAGCCUGGAACCACAGGAGCUGGAGCUGGGGCCUGCAGCAGAGACCCUGGGCACCAGAGAGGGGACUGGGCUGAGGCAAUAUUACUCUCGUCUCCUCUUGUCCUGCUGGGCCUCCCAGGGGCUGAGCCCCAAAAGCAGCCUGUGGGCAGGGGCCCCUGGGAGGUUUCAGCACAUGAGGUUGGUCAUGGAGCAAGGAGGACAAAGAGGCAGAGCGGACCAGCAGGGUAGACUUUGACAGUCCAGCUCUUGGGGCCUGCCCCUGUCUAGCCUCGUCUCCUGCGUCACUAUACCCAGCACCCCAUCUCCCUAGGAUCUACCAGCAUGCUUCCAUGCCUCCUGGAUAGAGUUCUCCUGUAAGUCCAAGGAGACCAUGACCUUUUCGGUCAUUCCAGAUCGUUUCUGCUGCCCAACGGGUCUCCCCACUGCCACUUCUGCCCUCGUCCGUCUUCUACCUGGUGCCAGAGCUGCCUUUUUUGUUGUUGUUGUAACUUUGUUUAUUGAGAGAGAGAGAGAGAGAGAGUGCGAGCCGAGUAGGGACAGAGAGAAAGGGCAGAGAGAGAAUCCCAAGCAGUUUCUGCACCAUCAGUGCAGAGCCCUACAUGGGGCUCGAACCUGCAAACUGUGAGAUCAUGACCCCAGCCGAAAUCAAGAGUCCGAUGCCCUGCGUUGGGCUCUGUGCUCUCAGCACGGAGCGUGCUUGUGAUUCUCUCUCCCUCCUGCUCACACGUGCGUGUGUGCUUUCUCUCUCUCUCUCUCUCUC